AGAAACAGCUUCUCAGUGAAAAUUGUCAUGACAACCUGGAGAGAGGAAACGUUCUACUGCAAGCCGAGCGUGGGGACCGAGGGUCGGCGUCACAGUGAGAGAGCCAUGAUGGAGGACGGGGUCACCCUGCUUGCCCAACGCGGGGAGCUCCGUCAUACAGAACCCCAGUGAGUUCUGGAGGUCACGCUCUGUUUCAUAAAUGAAAAGCUGGGGCAGGGGCCUUGCCACACGGACACUCCUCGGGCCUCACAAGCUCCUGUGGGUGACCAGGCUGCUCCCCACCGCCGGCGUGGGCUGUUGCUACCCUGCACAUCCCUCGGGUGGGCAGCGGUGCUUGAAACGCCAGCUCCCGCCCUUCCUGCCUAGUGGCUUGACGGCUUCAUUGUGCUAACCACCCAGGCAAGCUUGCGUGACUAACGGAGGAGCGUCUCCCCUUAGAUUCUUCCCGCCCGGAGCCGGGGACAGCAGAAAACCACCUGACCUCCAGAUUCUCUCUCGUCCAGUGGAGAUUCUCCUGCCCGAAGGCAGGCGCUCUCCAAGGUCCCUCUCCCCAGAAGAGCCACGAUCCCAGGAAGCCGGCUUGUGCAGAGGAAAGAACCGCACCUCGUUGUCAGAACAACCCCAGCUCUGCCACCUACACCUUGUGUGACCUUGGGCAAGUCAGAGAAACUUCUCAGAUGCACAAUCUCGUCACGCUCCUAGUUUCCAAGCCCACACACCUGAGGGUCAAUGUCCCUUAUUGCACCCCCACCCCAUACCGACUCCAUCAGCAAGUCCUGUUUGUUCUUGCCCCAAGUAUCUCUCCUGUCUGCCCAUUCCCUGCAUCUCCCCCGUCACCACCCCGGGCCAGUCCCCGUUACCCGCACCUGGAGGUCUGCACCAGCCCCACCUGCACUCCGGCGUCCACUCUCGCCCCCAUUGCUGUGAUCUCCACACAACCACGAGCGGCCUUGAGAGCGCAGCGAGGCCGUGAGGCUGCGCAGAGCCCCUCAGUCAGCAGGACCGCGCUCACGGUUCAGUGGGCCGUCUGCUAGAGGCUUUCCGCAGUUCAUUCCUUCUCCCCACACAACUCUGAAGAACGGGCUGGAACUGUUCUUGCAAAGACUGGGCUGAGAUGCAUGAGUAAAUCUGACGUGUCCACCCUCAUCUCUACAGGAUCAGCCCCAGCUCUGGGGCCCAGGACUGCUUGGCUCAUCGAAGAAUCCCGCCAUGCAGGUAUGACCUGGAUAGUACUUGACAUUGCAUUGUAGUGGGGAAAAAUAAAAAGGAACAUGAAACCUAUUGGCUGGUCUUUUAUG
rnacentral:lncRNA from 1 species